rnacentral:rRNA from 1 species
GACAGAGGGUGCAAACGUUUUUUUUUUGUUUCGGAAUUUACUGGGGCGUAAAGCGUGUGUAGGCGGUCCUGAAAGUCGGAUGUGAAAGCCCCCGGGCUCAACCCGGGAAGUGCACUCGAUACUCCAGGACUUUUGAGUGUCGGAGAGGUUGGUGGAAUUUUCUCGGUGUAGAGGUGAAAUUCGUAGAUAUCGAGAGGAACACCGGUGGCGAAGGCGGGGUCUCUGGGGCAACAACUGACGCUGAGGAGCGAAAAGCGUGGGGGAGCGAACAGG